GCUGGUAAUCGCGGAUCAGCAUGCCGCGGUGAAUACGUUCCCGGGCCUUGUACACACCGCCCGUCACACCAUGGGAGUUUGUAACACCCGAAGUCAGUGUCCCCAACCGCAAGGAGGGAGCUGCCGAAGGUGGGAUAAGCGACUGGGGUGAAGUCGUAACAAGGUAUC
rnacentral:rRNA from 1 species